rnacentral:other from 1 species
UAUCUCCUGCAGCGUUCGAGCAAUGCUGGGUGUUUCCUGAACCUGUUUUUACCCCGGAAACUUUUUGCCAGUCAUGGUGCGCAUGCCUGUUUAUUCAGGAAGCCUGAUUGACUGGAUUUGGUUUCCACUUGAACCUUCGGUUCAAGGACGAAAGCAUGAGACGGCGCAGGCGGGAGAUCU